rnacentral:rRNA from 1 species
AUUGAACGCUGGCGGCAUGAUUUACACAUGCAAGUCGAACGGUAACAGGCCGCAAGGUGCUGACGAGUGGCGAACGGGUGAGUAAUGCAUCGGAACGUGCCCAGUCGUGGGGGAUAACUACUCGAAAGAGUAGCUAAUACCGCAUACGAUCUAUGGAUGAAAGCGGGGGACCGUAAGGCCUCGCGCGAUUGGACCGGCCGAUGUCAGAUUAGGUAGUUGGUGGGGUAAAGGCUCACCAAGCCAACGAUCUGUAGCUGGUCUGAGAGGACGACCAGCCACACUGGGACUGAGACACGGCCCAGACUCCUACGGGAGGCAGCAGUGGGGAAUUUUGGACAAUGGGCGCAAGCCUGAUCCAGCAAUGCCGCGUGCAGGAAGAAGGCCUUCGGGUUGUAAACUGCUUUUGUACGGAACGAAACGGCUCUGGUUAAUACCCGGGGCUAAUGACGGUACCGUAAGAAUAAGCACCGGCUAACUACGUG